rnacentral:rRNA from 1 species
GCGGCGUGCUUAACAUGCAAGUCNAACGCUGAAGCUUGGUGCUUGCACUGGGUGGAUGAGUGGCGAACGGGUGAGUAAUACGUGAGUAACCUGCCCUUGACUCUGGGAUAAGCCUGGGAAACUGGGUCUAAUACUGGAUAUGACCUCCUGUCGCAUGGUGGGGGGUGGAAAGGGUUUGUACUGGUUGUGGAUGGGCUCACGGCCUAUCAGCUUGUUGGUGGGGUAAUGGCCUACCAAGGCGACGACGGGUAGCCGGCCUGAGAGGGUGACCGGCCACACUGGGACUGAGACACGGCCCAGACUCCUACGGGAGGCAGCAGUGGGGAAUAUUGCACAAUGGGCGCAAGCCUGAUGCAGCGACGCCGCGUGAGGGAUGACGGCCUUCGGGUUGUAAACCUCUUUCAGCACGGAAGAAGCGAAAGUGACGGUACGUGCAGAAAAAGCGCCGGCUAACUACGUGCCAGCAGCCGCGGUAAUACGUANGGCGCAAGCGUUGUCCGGAAUUAUUGGGCGUAAAGAGCUCGUANGCGGUUUGUCGCGUCUGCUGUGAAAGCCCGGGGCUUAACCCCGGGUGUGCAGUGGGUACGGGCAGACUUGAGUGCAGUAGGGGAGACUGGAACUCCUGGUGUAGCGGUGAAAUGCGCAGAUAUCAGGAAGAACACCGAUGGCGAAGGCAGGUCUCUGGGCUGUUACUGACGCUGA